CCUAAGUCUAUGUACUAUAAUUUUUUGGAUUUAUCUUCUGAAACUUUUUUCUUGGACUUUACUGUGAUUCUGGGUUCUUCUGUUCAUGUUUCAUUUUCUUUCUCUACUUUAUUUAUUUAUUUUUGGAUAAGAAACGAAAUUUUUAUUAAAAACGGUGGAAAAGUACAUCUGAACUUGAUAUACUUAUUUCUGCAGCAUUGGAUCAUUGUUACUUUUCAAGAGACAAGCUUGCUAUUUAUGAUAUUAUGGUUUCAUUUAACUGAACUGAGCUUUCACCCUGAAAAAUUAGAGUCUGCUUCUUAUAGUAGUGAUCCUUCUAUUAAUAGGGAGUGGAAAAAGAAAUUUCUUUUGUCAUGAUCACAUCAAAAUGCGAAGAAAGGUGAGUGAGCAGAGUUCAGUUAGAGCUUUUUUGUUGUUGUUGUUGCUGAUUUUAUUGCCCCAUGAGAAUGUAAAGCAAUUAUUGGUGCUGAGAAUCUACUUCUUAUGGUAUUGAUGCUCUGUUAAUUGGGAGCAGAGGGAGAGAACUUAUUUUUGUCAUUUUUAUAGAUAAAUAUGGAGAAAGUUGAACUCACAAGAAUUCUAAUUAACUUGCCCUUCCUUUUGAAAUUUAAUAGGAAUCUGGGAAGGAUAGUCAGGAGAAGAAAAAGAACCAUAUCAAGGCACUUCCUAUCUGGGAUACAGCUGGCUAUGAACGAUUUUAAAGCCUUGGUGUAGCUUUUUACUGUGGGGCUUGUUGUUGUGUUUGUAAGUUCUUUCAUGCCUUUAUUCAAUAACACUAACCUUGGUCAGACAUAGCUUCGGUAGGUAAGAUAGAAAUCUUAUUUUCCUAUGCAGUCCUUAAACUCUCUCUCUAAUGGGGUGAGAUUUCUGAAUGAGUAGGUAAUCGACUGCUAGGAAGGGACCUCUACUUAUAUGCAUUUUCUUAAGUUUCCUGCCCAUUAAGAAACACUUAAGUAAUCCAAUUUGCAUUAGGGUAGGUUGUUUUAAUCCAUAUGGAAUUAGGAGUUCUCUAGGUUGUUGUUUCCUAUUAAAACACUCAAUGGAAAAGAACUGCAGAUAAUGUUCAAGUCUAUACUCCUAGAUCAGUGCAAACUGCAGAGUCCUUAUAUGAUUAGAAGACCAUAAUCAUGUAAGACAAGAUAUUGUCUUACAGUGUUCUUGUCUAUGAUGUUAAUUCAAUGAAAUCAUUUGAUAACCUUAACAACUGGAGGGAAGAAUUUCUUAUUCAGGUAUGUUUUGGGGUUUUUAUUUUGUGUGUGGCUAUUUUCUUAAGAAUUGCAUCACUUACAAACCCUUCCAAUCGUCGUUUCUUUUUUCUGGAUCAGGUUUUGGUUGUUUAUCAAGUACAAUACCAAAAUCUGGAAUUGCAUAAUAAACAAGAAUGUGAAGAUAGGAAGAAACAUGGUUAUCACAAAUACUGAUGUUAGUGCUCCUUCUUUUGAAAUUUAAGACUUGAAAUGCUCGUGCAACUUAAAAGAAAUUUGAAUUAUUUCUGACUUAAAAAAUUGCUGGACAAAAUGCUUUGAACAUGGAGUUGUAGAAGCAGAUGUGGCAAUGGAAGGAUUUUAUAUUCGGUCUGGAAUCAGAGCCAUACUGAAGAAUGCAACCAUUAAAGAUGGAACUGUCAUUUAAAUCCAUCAAUUUACUACAGCGUACUUAGAUUGAGCCUUGGUGACAGUACCUUGAUGAAUUUCCUCAUGUGUGCUUUUACUAAAUUUGGAUUCUGGAUGUUAUAUUUAUGUUUAAAGUAAGUGCAGUUCUAUUUUGUAUCCAUCAUUCUGAAACAUUAACUUGAGUAUGAGUUAGGCGGCAUGCAUAUUUUGUAUUCUAUUUUGUAUUUUUAUUUCUAGGGUGGAGGGCUAACAUUGCCAAUGUAUUA